rnacentral:rRNA from 1 species
GCUUAGCCCUAAACCUAAAUAAUUAAACAACAAAAAUAUUUGCCAGAGAACUACUGGCCACCGCUUAAAACUCAAAGGACUUGGCGGUACUUUAUAUCCGUCUAGAGGAGCCUGUUCUAUAAUCGAUAAACCCCGCUAUACCUCACCAUCUCUUGCUAAUUCAGCCUAUAUACCGCCAUCUUCAGCAAACCCUAAAAAGGCAUAAAAGUAAGCAUAAGAAUAACCAUAAAAACGUUAGGUCAAGGUGUAGCCAAUGAGAUGGGAAGAAAUGGGCCACAUUUUCUUUCAUAAGAACAUUAACGAAACCCUUUAUGAAACUAAAGGAUAAAGGAGGAUUUAGUAGUAAAUUAAGAAUAGAGAGCUUAAUUG